rnacentral:sRNA from 1 species
UCCAACAGGAGGUCCGAGAUAUUCGUG